UACGUAGGGGGCAAGCGUUGUCCGGAUUUAUUGGGCGUAAAGAGCGUGUAGGCGGCCUGAAAGGUCAGCUGUGAAAACUCGAGGCUCAACCUCGAGACGUCGGUUGAAACCAUCUGGCUAGAGUCCGGAAGAGGAGAGUGGAAUUCCCGAUGUAGCGGUGAAAUGCGCAGAUAUCGGGAAGAACACCCGUGGCGAAGGCGGCUCUCUGGGACGGUACUGACGCUGAGACGCGAAAGCGUGGGUAGCAAACAGG
rnacentral:rRNA from 1 species